rnacentral:rRNA from 1 species
UGCCAGACUCCUACGGGAGGCAGCAGUGGGGAAUAUUGGGCAAUGGGCGCAAGCCUGACCCAGCAACGCCGCGUGAAGGAAGAAGGCUUUCGGGUUGUAAACUUCUUUUGACAGGGAAGAGUAGAAGACGGUACCUGUCGAAUAAGCCACGGCUAACUACGUGCCAGCAGCCGCGGUAAUACGUAGGUGGCAAGCGUUAUCCGGAUUUACUGGGUGUAAAGGGCGUGUAGGCGGGACUGCAAGUCAGAUGUGAAAACCAUGGGCUCAACCUGUGGCCUGCAUUUGAAACUGUAGUUCUUGAGUACUGGAGAGGCAGACGGAAUUCCUAGUGUAGCGGUGAAAUGCGUAGAUAUUAGGAGGAACACCAGUGGCGAAGGCGGUCUGCUGGACAGCAACUGACGCUGAGGCGCGAAAGCGUGGGGAGCAAACAGGAUUAGAUACCCGUGUAACC